AGAAUGAAUUAUCAUCACCACCCAAAAAGUAUGUAUGCAAAUACAUUAGUUUAAAAUAAAAAACAAAGCAUGCCUUUUAGGCUUACAACUACAACUUCUAUUCUAUAUUAAUAUAAUACAUUACAUGCCGGAUGAAGCACACCCAGGUUAGCAAAGGCAUGCCAGAUUCUACAUGUUCCAAGAAUGACAACAUUUAGUCCAUCAUGAAAUACAUCAAGGUAUGUCACCAUUUUACUUAGCUAAUUAAUUAAGUAUCUAGAUUCCUCAAACUUUUUUCAAUACUUAGAGUUUGCAUGGUUUUAGCUUUUCGACCUAUUCCUUAGUUUCUAUGCUCCAUUCUAAAACCUGUAUAUUACACAUAUAUAUGUGCCUAUCUAUCCUACUUAAAAGAAACACCAAAUGUUUAACUCACUUGGUGAAGGAGAGCAAGGGCAUGAAACAGCAUGUCUUAACUGCACGGGCUCUUGAACUUCAUUGCUUCCUCACUCUAGCAAUUUAUUUCUUUAAUGUUAACUUGUCUUUCUUGAUUUGUAUUUAAAUGCUUUAAACCUUUUCUUCGAACAUUACCUAGAUGCAGUUGCCAACGUUCUUAGUACACUUGCUUUUACAUUGCUCCUUUUUUCCUUAUAUAUCGUCAUAACAAUGAGUUAGACUAUUAGCCUCUUCAUGUACCUUAUUCGACAAACACUUUAACUGACUUAGUACCUGCUUGCUGUGAUCAGAAGGAAAUAGAAAAUAAACAUAUUGUAUGUUAUUGUUUCUCUCCUUUCAAAGAAUGUUAUUUCUUUUAUGAUCCUGAUAUUACAUUGAACUCUUUAGUGUUGUCUAUGCUAACAUACUACUCUCAUUUAUAUACAGGUAUGAGGCUUCAUCACUUUUGGUCAUGAGACUUUUAUGUACGUAUUAACCUGAUGUUUAAACCUUCCUAAACGGUGUCUAUGCAAGAAAAGCUAGGUCACUUUUGAUCAGUAGACUCUUAUUUGCACCUUGCACACAUAGAAAAGGCCCCACCACUUUUGGUCACAAGACUUUUAUGUACAUAUUAACCUAAUGUUG
rnacentral:lncRNA from 1 species